rnacentral:rRNA from 1 species
GUUUGACCUCACAUCAG